UCUUCCUCUAUGUUGCCCCUCCCCAUCUCUUUCCCCACUUGCAACCACUAACUUGUUCUCUGGGAGCCUGUUUCUGUUUUGUUAUAUUCAUUUGUUUUAUUUUUUAGAAGAGUAUCACUUCCCAUUUGGACUGUAAAAGAGGGCUCCAUGAGCAUGGAAAUAGUCUUUACUUCAGAGAAGCUGAGUUGUUGUAUUUCCCUGAGGCAGCAAAUUCAUUUGCAAACACAAAGGCUCAGGGAAAUUUGCGCCCUAUUACACAGUCUCCAAAUAUUCCAGACUUGCUAAGACUCCAGUCGAAAAGGGUCAAGGCAGUUCAUCAGAUUCCCUUCCUAAUUCUCAACUUCCAAAGCAAGUUCUUCCCAGAGCACAGACAAAGGAAGACUAUCUGGCUGCCUAGUCUACAGCCCUGAGGACAAAAGCAUCAUCAGUGACAAGGAGACGUCCUGCUGGGGAGUAAGAUUUUACCGAGACCCAGUUGAGGAGACAUAUGUGGGGAACUUGGAUCGUCUGAGACAAGCUGUCAAUGCCAGGCAAGCAGCGAUAUGCGCAAAAGAAGAAACUGAAGAUUGAAGAGAUCAAACAGGUAGAAAGCAACAAAAGAUUUGGGAUUGGAUCCCCUGUUUAUCUCAUGCAAAACCCUGCUUUUUUAGCUGGAGUGAGGCCAUAUUAUACUCUAGAGAAUAGAGGGAGGCCAGAAGAACAAACAAAACCCAAGACCAAUUAAAGAUACAACUGAAAAAAUAAUGUUGAUCUUUGAGAUUGUUGUGUAUAUAUUCUUGGCCUGUUUCUCCUAUUCGCUUCUCCCCAUAAUUCUCCAAAGAAGCCACUGGAUAUUUCCUCUCCAGAUCUAAAGUUACUCUCUAAAAAGUGCCUGGAUCUCAUUUCGCAUAAAGGACAAGUGACUCUUCACGGUUUUAAAAGUCCUUGCUCCUGAAGCUUUAGAUCAAGCUUCAGUUAAUCCUUUGGAAGCUUAAAUUGCUUAAUUUUUAGGAACUGGAGUUUGGGGAUAGGAAAAAAAAAAAAAACUGCAAUUCUAAAAUGUAUGGCACGCAGUCAGUUGAUUUGAUAAGAAUGCCAAGACAGAAUUCCCUGGCGCUCCAGUGGUUAGGACUUUGCACUUUCACUGCCAAGGGACUGGGUUCAAUACCUGGUCUAAGGGAACUAAGAUCCCACAACAGCACAGCAAAAAGAAAGAAAGAAAGAAAGGAAGAAUGCCAAGACAAUUAAACAGAGAGGAAAUAGCCUUUUUAAAAAAUGGUGUGGGGACAACUGGAUAUCUACAUGUAAAAGAAUGAAUUUGGAUUUCUAUCUCGCACCAUAUAUAAAAAUCAACUCAAAUCUUUCAUAGUCUUAAGUGUAAGAGCUGAAAGUGUCAACUCUUAAAAGAAAGAUGUAAAUCUUCAUAUUCUUGGAUUAGGCAAUAUUUUCUUAGAUACGAUACCAAAAGCAUAAGCAACAAAAGAAAAAAAGAGUGAAACUGGACAUCAGUUCAGUUCAGUUCAGUCUCUCAGUUGCAUCCGACUCUGCGACCCCACGAAUUGCAGCACGCCAGGCCUCCCUGUCCAUCACCAACUCCCGGAGUUCACUGAGACUCACGUCCAUCGAGUCAGUGAUGCCAUCCAGCCAUCUCAUCCUCUGUCAUCCCCUUCUCCUCCUGCCCCACAAUCCCUCCCAGCAUCAGAGUCUUUUCCAAUGAGUCAACUCUUCGCAUGAGGUGGCCAAAGUACUGGAGUUUCAGCUUUAGCAUCAUUCCUUCCAAAGAAAUCCCAGGGCUGAUCUCCUUCAGAAUGGACUGGUUGGAUCUCUUUACAAUCCAAGGGACUCUCAAGAGUCUUCUCCAACACCACAGUUCAAAUGCAUCAAUUCUUUGGCGCUCAGCUUUCUUCACUGGACAUGAUCAGAAUUAAAAACCAUGCUUCAAAAAACAGACUCAAGUGAAAAGAUGAUCCACAGAAUAAGAGAAU
rnacentral:lncRNA from 1 species